rnacentral:rRNA from 1 species
AGUGAACGCUGGCGGUAGGCCUAACACAUGCAAGUCGAACGGCAGCACAGUAAGAGCUUGCUCUUACGGGUGGCGAGUGGCGGACGGGUGAGGAAUACAUCGGAAUCUACUUUUUCGUGGGGGAUAACGUAGGGAAACUUACGCUAAUACCGCAUACGACCUACGGGUGAAAGCAGGGGGUCUUCGGACCUUGCGCGAUUGAAUGAGCCGAUGUCGGAUUAGCUAGUUGGCGGGGUAAAGGCCCACCAAGGCGACGAUCCGUAGCUGGUCUGAGGGGAUGAUCAGCCACACUGGAACUGAGACACGGUCCAGACUCCUACGGGAGGCAGCAGUGGGGAAUAUUGGACAAUGGGCGCAAGCCUGAUCCAGCCAUACCGCGUGGGUGAAGAAGGCCUUCGGGUUGUAAAGCCCUUUUGUUGGGAAAGAAAAGCAGCAGGUUAAUACCCCGCUGUUCUGACGGUACCCAAAGAAUAAGCACCGGCUAACUUCGUG